rnacentral:rRNA from 1 species
GUUCUCCCCGAAAUAGCUUUAGGGCUAGCCUCAAGUAGUAAGUAUAGGCGGUAGAGCACUGAUCGGGCUAGGGGCCAUAAAGGUUACCGAACCCUGUCAAACUCCGAAUGGUUAUACUGUAGAGCUUGGGAGUCAGACUACGAGUGAUAAGAUCCGUGGUCAAAAGGGAAACAGCCCAGACCACCAGCUAAGGUCCCCAAUGUCGUACUAAGUGGAAAAGGAUGUGGGGUCUCUAAAACAACCAGGAUGUUGGCUUAGAAGCAGCCACCAUUUAAAGAGUGCGUAAUAGCUCACUGGUCGAGAGACCCUGCGCCGAAGAUUACCGGGGCUAAAGUACGAAACCGAAGCUGUGGCUACGACGUAAGUCGUGGGGUAGGGGAGCGUUCUGUGAGGGCUGAAGUCGUUCUGUAAGGAACGGUGGACUUCACAGAAGUGAGAAUGUUGGUAUGAGUAGCGAAAAGAAUGGUGAGAAUCCAUUCCACCGAAAGCAUAAGGAUUCCUGGGCAACGAUCGUCGUCCCAGGGUAAGUCGGGACCUAAUCCGAGGCAUGGAGCGUAGGAGAUGGACAACUGGCAGAUAUUCCAGUACCGGUAAUGAUUGUUUGAGCGAUGGAGUGACACAGGAGGGCAGGCAGGCAGGAGAUUGGUUGUUCCUGUACAAGCGUGUAGGAUGGGACGUAGGCAAAUCCGCGUCCUGAGAGUCUGAGGCGUGAUGUGGAGGUUCCGGAAACGGAACUGAAGCUGCUGACCCCACACUGUCGAGAAAAGCUUCUAGUUAGAGAAUUACCGCCCGUACCGUAAACCGACACAGGUAUGCGGGGAGAGAAUCCUAAGGUGCGCGGGAGAACCCUCGUUAAGGAACUCGGCAAAAUGUACCCGUAACUUCGGGAUAAGGGUAGCCGCUGUUGUGAAGUCUGAACAGACGGAGCAUGAGGCGGUCGCAGAGAAGAGGCCCAAGCGACUGUUUACCACAAACACAGGUGCCUGCUAAAGAGAAAUCUGACGUAUAGGUGCUGACACCUGCCCAGUGCCGGAAGGUUAAGGAAGGAUGUCCGGAGCAAUCCAAAGCAUUCGACCGAAGCCCCGGUGAACGGCGGCCGUAACUAUAACGGUCCUAAGGUAGCGAAAUUCCUUGUCGGGUAAGUUCCGACCCGCACGAAAGGUGUAACGAUUUGGGCACUGUCUCAACGAGGGACCCGGUGAAAUUGAAGUACCUGUGAAGAUGCAGGUUACCCGCGACUGGACAGAAAGACCCCAUGGAGCUUUACUGUAACCUGACAUUGGGUUCUGAUACAUCACGUACAGGAUAGGUGGGAGGCAUGGAAGCGAGGACGCAAGUCUUCGUGGAGCCGCCGUUGGGAUACCACCCUUGAUGUAUCGGAAUUCUAACCGUAGGAGUAACGAAACUCGGGACAGUGUCAGGCGGGCAGUUUGACUGGGGCGGUCGCCUCCCAAAGAGUAACGGAGGCGCCCAAAGGUUCCCUCAGCGCGGCCGGAAAUCGCGCGAAGAGUGUAAAGGCAGAAGGGAGCUUGACUGAGAGCCAAACACGGCGAUCAGGUACGAAAGUAGGGCUUAGUGAUCCGGUGGCAUCCAAGUGGAAGGGCCAUCGCUCAACGGAUAAAAGCU